AAGUUAAAAGAAACAGAAUGAAAGCAAACGAAACAGAGAAGAACAGGGGAGAAAGAAAGGAAAGAAGAAAGAAAAGGGGAAAUAAGGUUUAUGAAGCUUGGAGUUAAUUGGUAAGCUCAAUCAAGUCCUUUUCUCAUAAUUUUGAUAUUUUAAAAGUCUUAAAACAAGUUUUUGAUGAAAUUAAGUUGUUAGUUUGGAAGUUCUUAGGUUUUUAAACAAAGUUCAUGUUGAAUAAAAUGAUGAAAUAGGGGUUUAAUUGAACGAAAUUCAAGUUAGAAUAGAUAUAAGGAUUGAAUAGCAAAGUAAGCUAUAAUUUUUGUGUUUUAGGGACUAGAUUGAGGAAAAUUCGGAAUUAAGAAAAUAUGUUGAAAAUUUAAUAGUUAAAUUUGAGUUUAAAUGAAAUUUGAAUAGGAAUAAGGUGUGAAUUGGUGUUAUAAAUUUGGUUAUUAACAUUUUUCAUCAAAACAGUUUUGGGAAGUAGCAAUGGUCUGACUUUGAAAAUUCACUAAAAAUUUUAUAAAUUGAACUAGAGGAUGAACAAAAUAUGGAAUUAAAGCUUAUUGAGUCUAGUUUCUUAUAGUAGAAACAGUGUAAGCAAUUAAUUGAUGAAUCAAGAGAUAUUUGAAAUUUUGUAAUACUGGUUCGGGGUGAUUUCGAGAUGCCCUGUUUUAACUUUGGAAAAUCAUUAAAAAUUGUACAAAAAUUAUUAUGGAGUGUAGUUUAUAUAUCUGAACUCCUUAAUGAAUCUAGUUUCAAAAUAAAUAAACAAGAACCUUAUUCGAGUUCUGUACAAUGAGAUAAUUUAGUUUUAGUAGAGAGAGGUCAGAACUGUCAAAUGAAAUAACAGGGGAGUAUUUAACGAAUAAACUGUAUUAAAUGGCUAGACCAAAAAUUAUGGAAAUUUUAUGAUUAGAAGAUAUAUGAGUCUAGUUUUAAGGAAAAUUUACGGAUAUUAAUUUGGAGUUUUGUAGCUCAAGAUAUAAAUAAUUUAGUAACAAUGACUCAAGUAGACAGCUUAAUGGUGAAAUUAUAUAUAUAUACAUUAAAAAUGGUUAAAUUUGCAUGUUUAGGCUCAUGAAUUAAAUUGAAUCAUGUUGUAUUGAUGAUUAUAAAUUAUUAUUUUCGUAGCCAAAAAAGAACCUGAAGCAUCAGCAUCGAAAGGAAAGGAGAAAGUCAUCGAGUACUAAAACGGGAGAAUUACGGUGUGUAUUACUAUAAUUCGAAUUUUAAUUAUUAUUGAUUGCUGAAUUUUUUUUAUUGUUAUGUAUGGUAAGUAAGACUUGAGGUAAGUAUGUGAAAUUGAUAUGAAUAUUGAGUGAAAAUGAAAGUGAUGCAAAUUGAAUCAAAUUGAAUUGAAUAAGUGAAUUAUGGAAGAUGUAAUUAUUUGAAAGGCGUAUUGAUUGAAAAAUGAUUGGUGAUUUGAAUUGUGAAUUGAAAGUGAUAUAGGAUUGAGAAAGUGAAUUGAAUACCCUAUUAACUAGUCAGGCUGAGUCGGAUAUAAGUGGCAUGCCAUAGGAUUGGAAGUGUUCAGGGAUACUUCGACCUCGAGUCGAUGAGACACUGGGUGUCACUAUAUUUCUUCGGAUAGAUUCGAUGAGGUACUGGGUACCAACUUUACUUCGGCUAGGCCGAUGAGACACUGGGUGUCAACUAUUACUUCGAACUAUCCGAUGAGGCACUGGGUGCCAUAUUGGUGUGUUUGGUUGGAUCCGUGUAUCCGCCAAAGUCCGAGUUACGUUAAUAGGGUGAAAAAUUGAAAUGUGAAUUUGAGGCAUUGAAACGAGAAAAAUAAAUUGAAUUACGAAUUGAAAUUGGAAUUGUGAUAAUAAGAGAAAAGUAUGAAAUGUAUAUUCAUAAGUGAUAUAAAUUUAAGUUUGAGAAAAUACAUUGAUUUAUGAAUUAGUACAUAUGACAUUAAUUGUUAGGUAUUUUAAUAUUUAUGUUUUUACUAUUGUUGAUAUAAUUUGAAUUAUGGUAAUAUCACUGAGUAUAUCCAUACUCAGCGUACGGUUAUUUCCGUGCGCAGGUUAGUAGAAGUCAAGUGUCCCGGUUCAGCAUCCAGAACAUUCCCGACUCCAACACAAAUUUGGUGAUGUAUAUUUUUCUUUUGGGUAAAGGUGGCAUGUACAUAGGUAUUAUAUAGUCACUUGAAUAUGCAUAUUACUUUGGG
rnacentral:lncRNA from 1 species